rnacentral:tRNA from 1 species
AAGAGAGGUCAGGGACAAAAAGAACUGCUAAUUCUUUCACCCAUGGUUCAACUCCAAGGCUCACUUA